GGGCCCGCACAAGCGGUGGAGUAUGUGGUUUAAUUCGAUGCAACGCGAAGAACCUUACCAGGGUUUGACAUCCUGCGAAUCUCUUGGAAACGAGAGAGUGCCUUCGGGAGCGCAGUGACAGGUGGUGCAUGGCUGUCGUCAGCUCGUGUCGUGAGAUGUUGGGUUAAGUCCCGCAACGAGCGCAACCCACGUCUUUAGUUGCCAGCAUUUAGUUGGGCACUCUAGAGAGACCGCCGGUGAUAAACCGGAGGAAGGUGUGGAUGACGUCAAGUCAUCAUGCCCCUUACAUCCUGGGCUACACACGUACUACAAUGGCAGUGACAGAGGGACGCUACCAGGUGACUGGAUGCAAA
rnacentral:rRNA from 1 species